rnacentral:rRNA from 1 species
AUGAAGAAUCAACUUAUAUUUGCACUGGUCAGCUGCCAAAAUUCAUAUUCAUCGAUGGACAGUGAAAAUGCAAAGCGGCACCACGUACCUCACUGUGGCGAGGUGCUGCUUGUACACAUUCAGCUGCGCCUGUCCAUAUCCCUGGAAGAAGCCAUUGGGGACGUUGAUCCUCUUCCCUUUCAACCCGUCUUUCUUCAGGCACUGCGUGUACCCGCCGUGAGGGAUGUACUUGGAUGCUGCUCUUGUGGCUGCGGCGUCGUGCGCAUCGUAGCGAACGAUGGCGUCCAACACAUGCAUCGCGUCCGACACAUCGGUCUACAUUGCAAAUUGAGGGCUGAACAUUUGGAAUUUCCAAUGGAAAAUUGGGAAUUUUAUAGAUUUGUCACUUGA